GAACGGAUGUAGCAAUACAUUAGUGGCGCACGGGAGAGUAACGCGUGGGAACCUACCUUUUGGUUCGGGAUAACAUCGGGAAACUGGUGCUAAUACCGGAUAAGCCCUUACGGGGAAAGAUUUAUUGCCGAAAGAUGGGCCCGCGUUGGAUUAGCUAGUUGGUGAGGUAACGGCUCACCAAGGCUACGAUCCAUAGCUGGUCUGAGAGGAUGAUCAGCCUCACUGGGACUGAGACACGGCCCAGACUCCUACGGGAGGCAGCAGUGGGGAAUAUUGGACAAUGGGGGCAACCCUGAUCCAGCCAUGCCGCGUGAACGAUGAAGGCCUUCGGGUUGUAAAGUUCUUUUGACGGGGACGAUGAUGACGGUACCCGUAGAAUAAGCACCGGCUAACUUCGUG
rnacentral:rRNA from 1 species